rnacentral:rRNA from 1 species
AUGCUAUUCCCCACCCGUCCCUGUAAAUCCCAAGCUCCUGCCGCCGUAGCUGCUAUCUGCAGCCUCCGCCCCUCCUCCUCAUCGCCGGCGCUUAUUCCUUCCCCGUAUCACGACGACAACCCAUUCGCCUCACUACUCACUUCCGAUCCCCCUCCGCCGGAUCCGCUCCGCCAGGUUCUCGCCACGGGAGACGUCCACGGCGCGCUCCGCGGCCUCCCUGGCCUCGCUCGCCAGCUGUUCCGGUGGGCGGAGGGCACCCCUCACGGUUUCCCCCGCUCCGCCUCCGCAUUCGCCGCCGUCCUUGUCCCGCUCGCUGAGGCCAGGCGCAACCGCUCCGCUUAUCCCGUCUCCCUCCGCGCUAUCCAGGCUGGCCUUCUCCUUCCCCUCAUCUCUCUCCUCCUCACGUAUCCCCUGUCCCCCUCCUCCCACCACCUCCUCAACUUCCUCUUACGCAUGUCCACCAAGUUUGUGCCCGAAUGCCAAGCUCAGGACCCUGCGCCCACCAGCUGUUCGACACAAUGCCUUUCCGCCUUCCAAGAGAUGGCGCGUCAAGGUGUCGCCCCUUACGUCAAGGUGUGCAACUGCGUGCUCUCUGUGCUGUGCGACGCGGCCAGGUGGGACGACAUGCGUGCUGUGUAUUCAGAUAUGCUUCAGCUUGGGGUUGAGCCAUCCAUUGUCACAUACAAUACAUUGCUGGAUUCUUUUUGUAAGGCAGGGAGGAUCGAUCAGGCUGUCAUGCUGCUCAAGGAUAUGGAGGCCCAAGUUGCUGGCUGCUUGCCGAAUGAUGUCACCUAUAAUGUGGUGAUCAGUGGGCUGGCCAGGAAUGGUGAGCUGGACAAGGCGGCUCAACUGGUUGACAGAAUGCGGUUGUCCAAACAAGCGUCAGCCUUCACAUAUAAUCCACUUAUCAGUGGGUUGUUAGCAAGGGGUUUUGUUGAAAAGGCUGAUGCUUUGCAGCAGGAGAUGCAGAAUGAUGGCAUUGUGCCAACGGUGGUGACAUACAAUACAUUGAUUCAUGGGUUAUUUAAAAGAGGGAACGUGGAGGCGGCAGAGUUGAAAUUUCUGGAAAUGAGGGCAAUGGGGUUGCAGCCAGAUUUGAUUACUUACAAUUCCUUGAUAAAUGGACAUUGUAAGGCAUGUAAUUUGAAGCAGGCACUUUGGUUGCUUGGUGAUUUGAGACGUGCAGGGCUAGCACCGACAGUUAUGACAUAUAACAUCCUUAUAGAUGGCUAUUGUAGAUUAGGUAAUUUAGGGGGGGCUAUGAGAUUCAAGGAGGAGAUGAGAGCAGAGUGCUGCCUGCCCGAUGUUUGUACAUAUACUAUUCUUAUGAAUGGGUCAUGUAAGGUCAAGAACAUUGCUAUGGUAAGGGUGUUCUUUGAUGAAAUGCUGAGUAAGGGUUUAAAGCCAGACUGCUUUGCUUACAACACAAGGAUUUCAGCAGAGCUGACUCUAGGUGCUAUUUCCGAUGCUUUUCAGUUGAGGGAGGAGAUGAUGCCGAGUGGAAUUUCUUCCGAUACAGUUACAUAUAAUAUUCUUAUUGAUGGACUGUGCAAGGCUGGUAGCCUGAAAGAUGCCUAUGUGUUGUGGAUGAAGAUGGUCAGUGAUGGGUUACAACUUGACUGUGUCACAUACACUUGCUUGAUUCAUGCACAUUGUAAGUGGGGGCUUCUAAGGAAAGCAAAUAAUAUUUUUCGUGGCAUGGUUGCAAGUGGUUUGUCACCCUCGGCUGUGACCUAUACCAUUUUUAUUCACACAUACUGUAGGGUGGGAGAUCUUGAUUCAGCAUAUGGCUGGUUCCGGAAGAUGCUGGAAGAAGGAGUGGAACCUAAUGAAGUAACAUAUAAUGUGCUCAUGAAUGCACUAUGCCGGAUAGGGAGAACUGAAUUGGCUUAUCAAUAUUUUCAUGAGAUGCUGGAGAGAGGAUUGGUGCCAAACAAAUACACAUACACUUUGUUGAUAGACGGGAACUGUAAAGAAGGUAACUGGGUGGAGGCUGUAAGGCUGUACUGUGAAAUGCAUCAGAAAGGUAUUCAUCCAGACCAUUGUACACAUAAUGCCUUGUUUAAGGGAUUUGGUGAAGAUCACAUGCACGACACAAUUCAGUACUUGGAGAAUGUUGUUUUGGGUGCA